rnacentral:rRNA from 4 species
GUUUGACCUCGGAUCAGGUAGGGAUACCCGCUGAACUUAAGCA